rnacentral:rRNA from 1 species
UACGUAGGGUGCAAGCGUUGUCCGGAAUUAUUGGGCGUAAAGAGCUCGUAGGCGGUUUGUUGCGUCGGCUGUGAAAUCCCGAGGCUCAACCUCGGGUCUGCAGUCGAUACGAGCAAACUAGAGUGUUGCAGGGGAGACUGGAAUUCCUGGUGUAGCGGUGAAAUGCGUAGAUAUCGGAAGGAACACCAGUGGCGAAAAGCG